rnacentral:rRNA from 1 species
CCUACGGGUGGCAGCAGUCGAGAAUCAUUCACAAUGGGGGAAACCCUGAUGGUGCGACGCCGCGUGGGGGAAUGAAGGUCUUCGGAUUGUAAACCCCUGUCAUGUGGGAGCAAAUUAAAAAGAUAGUACCACAAGAGGAAGAGACGGCUAACUCUGUGCCAGCAGCCGCGGUAAUACAGAGGUCUCAAGCGUUGUUCGGAAUCACUGGGCGUAAAGCGUGCGUAGGCUGUUUUGUAAGUCGUGUGUGAAAGGCGCGGGCUCAACCCGCGGACGGCCCAUGAUACUGCGAGACUAGAGUAGUGGAGGGGGAACCGGAAUUCGCGGUGUAGCAGUGAAAUGCGUAGAUAUCGAGAGGAACACUCGUGGCGAAGGCGGGUUCCUGGACAUUAACUGACGCUGAGGCACGAAGGCCAGGGGAGCGAAAGGGAUUAGAUACCCGAGUAGUC